UACGUAGGGAGCAAGCGUUGUUCGGAUUUACUGGGCGUAAAGGGCGCGUAGGCGGCCAACUAAGUCGGAUGUGAAAUCCCCAGGCUCAACCUGGGAACUGCAUCCGAUACUGGAUGGCUUGAAUUCGGGAGAGGGAUGCAGAAUUCCAGGUGUAGCGGUGAAAUGCGUAGAUAUCUGGAGGAAUACCGGUGGCGAAGGCGGCAUCCUGGACCGACAUUGACGCUGAUGGAGCGAAAAGCUAGGGGAGCAAACGGG
rnacentral:rRNA from 1 species